rnacentral:rRNA from 1 species
CCUACGGGAGGCAGCAGUGAGGAAUAUUGGUCAAUGGACGAGAGUCUGAACCAGCCAAGUAGCGUGAAGGAUGACUGCCCUAUGGGUUGUAAACUUCUUUUAUAAAGGAAUAAAACGAGGCACGUGUGCCUUUUUGCAUGUACUUUAUGAAUAAGGAUCGGCUAACACCGUGCCAGCAGCCUCGGUAAUACGGAGGUGGCAAGCGUUAUCCGGAAUGACUGGGCGUAAAGGGUGGGUAGGUGGUUUAGUAAGUUGGUUGUGUAAUUCCGGGGAUCAACCUGGGCGCUACCGCCAAACCGAUUAGACUAGAGUGCAGGAGGGGUAAGUGGAAUUCCUAGUGUAGCGGUGGGAUGCGUAGAUAUUAGGAGGAGCAUCAGGGGCGAAGGCGACUUACUGGACUGUAACUGACACUGAGGCACGAAAGCGUGGGGAGCAAACAGGAUUAGAUACCCGGGUAGUC